ACGUCAUCCCCACCUUCCUCACAGUUUGCACUGGCAGUCUUGUUAGAGUUCCCGACAUGACUCGCUGGCAACUAACAACAGGGGUUGCGCUCGUUAUAGGACUUAACCUGACACCUCACGGCACGAGCUGACGACAACCAUGCAGCACCUUGUAAUUUGUCUUGCGAAAGAUCUGUUUCCAAAUCGGUCAAACUACAUUUAAGCCUUGGUAAGGUUCCUCGCGUAUCAUCGAAUUAAACCACAUGCUCCACCGCUUGUGCGGGCCCCCGUCAAUUCCUUUGAGUUUCAUUCUUGCGAACGUACUCCCCAGGUGGGAUACUUAUCACUUUCGCUUAGCCACUGAAAUUGCUUCCAACAGCUAGUAUCCAUCGUUUACGGCGUGGACUACCAGGGUAUCUAA
rnacentral:misc_RNA from 1 species